UUAGCAUUUUUUAGAAAUAAUUUUUUUUUAAAAAUAAGGUAUGUGAAAAUGGUUUUUAGACGUAAUGCUAUUACAAGCUUAACAUAACUGAAGUUAUGUUUAUACUAUAUAAAGUAUAGUAUAAACGUAAGUUCUGUAUGUACUGGGAAGCCAAAAAGUUCAUGUGACUUGCUUUAUUGCAACAUCUGUUUUAUCGUGGUGGUCUAGCACUGUAUCUGCUAUAUCUCAGAUGAGCUCGAUAAAGGACAGAAAUGGUAUGGACCUAACAGAAGCAGAAGAUAUUAAGAAGAGAUGGCAAGAAUACACAGAAGAACUGUACAAAAAAAGAUCUUGACGACCCAGAUAAUCAUGAUGGUGUGAUCAGUGACCUAGAGCCAGACAUCCCGGAAUGUGAAGUCAAGUGGGCCUUAGAAAGCAUCACUACGAACAAAGCUAGUGGAGGUGAUGGAAUUCCAGUGGAGCUCUUUCAAAUCCUGAAAGAUGAUGCUGUGAAAGUGCUGCACUCAAUAUGCCAGCAAAUUUAGAAAACUCAGCAGUGGCCACAGGACUGGAAAAGGUCAGUUUUCAUUCCAAUCCCAAAGAAAGGCAAUGCCAAAGAAUGCUCAAACUACCGCACAAUUGCACUCAUCUCACAUGCUAGUAAAGUAAUGCUCAAAAUUCUCCAAGCCAGGCUUCAGCAAUAUGUGAACCGUGAACUUCCUGAUGUUCAAGCUGGUUUUAGAAAAGGCAGAGGAACCAGAGAUCAAAUUGCCAACAUCCGCUGGAUCAUGGAAAAAGCAAGAGAGUUCCAGAAAAACAUCUAUUUCUGCUUUAUUGACUAUGCCGAAGCCUUUGACUGUGUGGAUCACAAUAAACUGUGGAAAAUUCUGAAAGAGAUGGGAAUACCAGACCACCUGAUCUGCCUCUUAAAAAAACUGUAUGCAGGUCAGGAAGCAACAGUUAGAACUGGACAUGGAACAACAGACUGGUUCCAAAUAGGAAAAGGAGUACGUCAAGGCUGUAUAUUGUCACCCUGCUGUCACAUGUCACCCUGUCACGUGAGUCUGAGUGAACUCCGGGAGUUGGUGAUGGACAGGGAGGCCUGGUGUGCUGUGAUUCACGGGGUCGCAAAGAGUCGGACAUGACUGAGAGACUGAUCUGAUCUGAUCUCAACUGAUGCCUGUAUCUCAGAGGUAGCUCAGCACUAUUAACAAUAACCAAGAGAUGGAGACAGCCUAAGAGUCCAAGGAAAAAGAAGACAGAAGAUGUGGUUGGUAUACACAUACACACACACACAAUGGAAUACUACUCAUUCAAAGAUAUCAUGAAAAAGAUAAAAUCUUGCCAUUGGCAAAAACACGAAUGGACCUUGAGAAUAUUAUGCAAACUGAAAUAAAUCAGAGGGAGAAAGACAAAAAGCAUGUGACUUCAUUCACAUGUGAACUAUAAAACAAAUAAAUAAUUUAACAAACAAAAACAAAC
ensembl:lncRNA